CACCCGGCCACCGUGGCGACGGCCCCGUCGUCGACGGUGACCGGGGUCCGGUGCGGGCCGCCGCGCCGGCGGCGUACGACGCGCCGCCAGGAGGCC
rnacentral:tRNA from 1 species